AGAGUUGAUCCUGGCUCAGAACGAACGUUAGCGGCGCGCCUAACACAUGCAAGUCGCACGAGAAAGGGCUUCGGCCCCGGUACAGUGGCGCACGGGUGAGUAACACGUAGGUAAUCUGCCCUUGAGUGGUGGAUAACCCUCCGAAAGGAGGGCUAAUACAGCAUGAGACCACGGUGUCUACGGACACAGCGGUCAAAGUGGGCCUCUUCAUGAAAGCUCACGCUUGAGGAUGAACCUGCGGCCCAUCAGCUAGUUGGUAGGGUAAUGGCCUACCAAGGCAAAGACGGGUAGCUGGUCUGAGAGGAUGAACAGCCACACUGGAACUGAGACACGGUCCAGACUCCUACGGGAGGCAGCAGUGGGGAAUCUUGCACAAUGGGCGAAAGCCUGAUGCAGCGACGCCGCGUGAGCGAUGAAGGCCUUCGGGUUGUAAAGCUCUGUGGGGAGGGACGAAUAUGCGUUGGCUAAUAUCCAACGUGAUGACGGUACCUCCUUAGCAAGCACCGGCUAACUCUGUGCCAGCAGCCGCGGUAAGACAGAGGGUGCAAACGUUGUUCGGAAUCACUGGGCGUAAAGCGCGUGUAGGCGGCUACGUAAGUCGGACGUGAAAUCCCACGGCUCAACCGUGGAAGAGCGCUCGAAACUGUGUAGCUUGAGUCCUGGAGAGGAAGACGGAAUACUUGGUGUAGAGGUGAAAUUCGUAGAUAUCAGGUAGAACACCAGUGGCGAAGGCGGUCUUCUGGACAGUGACUGACGCUGAGACGCGAAAGCGUGGGGAGCAAACAGGAUUAGAUACCCUGGUAGUCCACGCCGUAAACGAUGAGUGCUAGGUGUCACGGGCUUUGACCCUCGUGGUGCCGAAGCUAACGCGUUAAGCACUCCGCCUGGGGAGUACGGCCGCAAGGCUAAAACUCAAAGGAAUUGACGG
rnacentral:rRNA from 1 species